GGCAGAGCCGCCCCUCCGCCCUCUCCCAGCGCUGCCUCGCGUCCCUGGGUUCCGAGCUCAGCAGCGCGCAAGCUCCGUGGCCGCCAGGACCAGCCCUGCCUCCUCAGCUGAGGAAGCCGCUCCCACCCUUCUCCGCCUCACGCCGCGGACUCAGCUCCCGGGCCUUGCGGGCUCUGCCUGUGGGGUGGGGAGGGCAGCGAACCUCUGUCCUCUCAGGCUGUCACCGCGCGAUUGGGAGGGCGCCAGGAGGCCGAGGUCUGGGCUGCCGUGCGCUGCCGGUGCCUCACCCCGCAGGUCGGUCCGCCUCGUGGGCGGUGGGGCGGACGACCGGGAAGCCCCGAGAUCUCCAGAUCCUCGAAAAAGCCCUGAACUUGCGCAGUGACUUCCCAUUGAGUCCGCGAGGUUCUGGAGACCCGGGAGACGGAAGGAACACCCAAGGCCGACUGCUGCCCUCAGUUAUUGGGGCUCCACAUGGACCAAACCCAGCUGGCAGUCAGAGGGCAAGAGCGUCUUGAUGCACGGCAUACAGACCGAUUCCAGGGUGCAGUGCACGAUGGAAAAGGAGGAACGUACCUGAAGAGGCAAAUGAAAGAUAUCCAGCAUCACAGGCAACCUUGCUUCUACUACCAUAAAAAUAGUUUACAUUUCUUGAGCACUUAGUCUACGUCAGACAUGUCCAUGAUCUCAUUGCGUCUUCCCAUAAACCCGGUUUCCUCCUUUGGACAGAUAAAGAAACUGACUAGCGAAACAGCUUGAGGGACGGAGGUAUGGACAGCUAAGCUGACAUCUUCCCAUCCAGAGUCUUAUCUGGUGAAUAGUAGUUCCCCUGUGAAUGUUUGUGGAAUGAAUGAAUGAAUGAGGAGCAGGCAUAUAUAGGGUUAGAUGGCAAACCUCCCUGAGGAGCCUUAGCGGGGCCUCUUCUCCAUGGGACUUGGAGGGUCUCUGUAGAGAUGAGCCCUGUGCCUUUUGCUAUGUCUCCUGUCGGCUUGUAAUAGGCCAGCUUCUUCAGGUUAAAAGGGCAGGCAUGAAAGUCUGAAUAAAAACCCUUGGACUUGU